GACUGGAGCGCGGUUGGGGCGUGGCCCGAGCGAAGAGCUGGCUGAGCCUGCGGGAGGGCGGUGUACGGACCUCGGAUCCUCGCCCGCUAGAGUAGUCGCUGUGGGUCUUUGGGGCAUGGCCCUAGCUCGGGCACCGGCGCCUGCGGAUCCUAAGAAAGGCCGCAGUAGUGUUGUCGACCCCUGUUUUAAGGCCGCCGCGCGCUCCGUGAGGACUGCAGGGAGUUCUCGCCCUUCCGCUCUAAUAGAUCAGGAAACAGAGACCCAGAGAGGCCAGCGAGUGCCUCAAGACCACACAGCCCGCGGGAGGCGGCGCUAGGGGGCACAUCCACCUCUCCCUCCUCCCUAAGAAACUAUUCUGCCCGAAUCUGGCAUUGCAUCCUUUCCAGGACUGGACGUCGCUGUGAAGUAUAACGUGGACUCUUUAUCACGGGGCACCUGGAUUUGUGGGAUUCUUGGUGUCUCUUCAGGGCUCUGGGAUCACAGUUCAUAAUGGUUCUUUCUGGGCCUAAUCUGAACUGUCCAGUCAGUGUGUUUUCAGUGGUCCCAACUUGAGUUUAUUAAAGAACCCACCGGAGAUUUUUGGGGCACAGGAAGUUCCAGGUUUGGGGGCCCUCAUGUAGGUUCCAACUAAAAUGAUUUUGUCCCCUAGGUUCAGGUUUACCUCACAAAGCCCAUCUUGUGAGGUAAAGAGGAGUCCCACGUGGAAGACGGCUCUUCUGAAUGGAGACCUCCCGCCAGGGCUGCAGAGCAAAGGAGGAUCAAGGCCAAGAAAGAGGAAACCCUAGAUUUGCACGGCUGGUAGCACUAUGGGAUCCUUGCGCUCCGCAGGCCACCCUGCAGACUGAGACAGCCUGAGGUUUGAGCCAAGUUUCAGGAGAGCCCCACCUUUGUGAUUCUCUACAUGUUUCCUAGAUCCACAGAAAAUGAAUGUAUCUCAGUCUUCCUGUAGGUAUCACAGUAAAUAAUCUUUUAGGUGACCACUGGAUCUCAGUGCAGCCUGCUGCCUGUAAUUGCUUCUCCGGGGAAUCUGGACACUUUGUGCCAAAGGAGAACUCAGUCAAUGCAGGUCUCUAGGUCCUCCAACAGCGGGGCCUCGUAGCCCUCUUUCUGAUGGUCCUGCUUGAUCCAGGCGUGGAACCAGGGAUAUCUGCAAGAAAGAAUGGAUUAUAUCACCUUCAAAUAAUCUCCUGUAAUAUUAUGUGUAGACUGUGCAGCGGAUAGGUUAAAGUUGUAUUUUCUGGCAAAGGCUUCCCCAUUGUCCUUUCACAUUCAAACCGCUUCACUUGUUGGAUCUGUCUGGGAAGGGAUAGCAGUGGCCUUAUUAAGACAAAUGUUGUGAUUCUAUAGUAUUUGCCUCAAUUGAGCCUUCUGUCCAGUUGGCACUCAUGUUCAGUCCCUCCUGGAAAGUCUUGAUUGGUUUCUGGUCUGUUCCUUCCUCUGUGAUUAUUUCUUUUCUGUUUUCUCCAUGGAGCCUUCUUCCUCUUCUUGCCUGUUAUUACUGUUUCUCCCAAGGUGUCCAUUUCUGGUCCCCUGUUGUCCUCACUUUCCUCAGGUCUUGCUGAUUGAUCUCCUCUCCUCUCUGGGGCUGUACCAUUAGCUGGGAAGCUUUUCCGGCUCUCCAGCCCAGACCUCUCCCCCACCUUAGACCUAAGUGGCCAACUCUCUGCUAGACAUCUCUGUAUAGCUCUUCUAAAGGCCCUUCAAACCCUACAAAUCCAAAAGGAAAGCUGUUACUAAUAACCCCACCCUUCUCAUUUAUUUCCCAACAUAUGUUAUUACCAGCCAGCCCAUCAUCCGGGUGACAAACAGCAUUUAUUUCUAAGUGCUGUCCUUUACCUGCACAUCUAGUCAGUGAUCAAAUCUUGUUUCUUUCAAGUUGUUAACAUUUCUUUCUUUUUUUUGAAGUUGAAGUGAAGUGCACACAAAUCCUCAGGGAACAACUUGAUGAAUUUUUCAUAUGCUCUGCAGCUGGAUAACUAGCACCCAGAUCAAGAUAAGGGGCAUUUGCUGUACCACAGAAGGCUUCCUUGUUUUCUUUCAAAGACUGUACUUGCCCACUCACUCAAGGUGUGUGUUCCAGUUUUGUUUGUUAAAAAAAAUGGAUGAAUUCUUUAUAUGUGCUAGAUAAUGAGUCCUUUUUCAGACACAUGUACUGCAGAUGUCUUUUUUGAAUCUGAGGCUUGUUCUGAAUUUUAAUUAAGUCCAGCUUAUCAAUCUCUUCUGUAAUGGUGAGUGCUCUUUGUGUCCUAUUUAAAAAAAGCCUUGGGCGGGGAGGGUAUAUAUAGCUCAAGUGGUAGAGCACAUGCUUAGCAUGCAUGAGGUUCUGGGUUCAAUCCCCAGUAGCUCCUCUAAGAAUAAAUAAAUAAACUUAAUUACCUCCCCCCACCAAAAAAAAAAAAAAAAAAAAGAAAAA